GAUGAACGCUGGCGGCGUGCCUAAUACAUGCAAGUCGAGCGAACAGACGAGGAGCUUGCUCCUCUGACGUUAGCGGCGGACGGGUGAGUAACACGUGGAUAACCUACCUAUAAGACUGGGAUAACUUCGGGAAACCGGAGCUAAUACCGGAUAAUAUAUUGAACCGCAUGGUUCAAUAGUGAAAGACGGUUUUGCUGUCACUUAUAGAUGGAUCCGCGCCGCAUUAGCUAGUUGGUAAGGUAACGGCUUACCAAGGCAACGAUGCGUAGCCGACCUGAGAGGGUGAUCAGCGACACUGGAACUGAGACACGGUCCAGACUCCUACGGGAGGCAGCAGUAGGGAAUCUUCCGCAAUGGGCGAAAGCCUAACGGAGCAACGCCGCGGGAGUGAUGAAGGUUUUCGGAUCGUAAAACUCUGUUAUUAGGGAAGAACAAAUGUGUAAGUAACUAUGCACGUCUUGACGGUACCUAAUCAGAAAGCCACGGCUAACUACGUG
rnacentral:rRNA from 1 species